ensembl:lncRNA novel transcript
GGUACCUACGUCAUUUGAAAAUCUCUGAGCCAAUUCAUUUGUUUCUACCUGUGGAACAUCUGUUUAGCCUUGGGCAGUUGUUUUCCAGAAUUACCUCAAAGGAAAGCACAACAGUCAGACGUGAAAUGGAAACAGAAAAAUCUUCUGAAGCAGAAUAGUAACGCUGUGAAUUUAAAAGUAAUGGAUUUACAUUGACAACAUGCACAACAGGCUCAUGUAAAAGGAUUAUCUGAUGUGUCAUCAUGACUUAAUGAAGAACGCAAAUGCUUCUCGAUGAAAUUGAAGUAAAAAGAGGAAACAGAAGGGAAAAUGAGAGUCUAAAAAGAAACAAAGAGAAGUUAACUUUUAAGAGAUGACAAAUUCUACCUGCCACGAUGUUUUAUUUUAAUCUGAAAGAAAUUAUAAAGCUGAUACUUUCUGAAAAUAUAUCCUUUUACAGUAAAUAUUCUUGUGAAAUCUGCCAACCUACUUUUGUUUUAUUUCAAAAGCUUUUGUACCUCUCCAGACUAAACAAAAUACUUAAAAGAUGAUAUGGACAUUUAAAAAUAUUGUACUUAAAAAUAGAGAAGAAUAAAAAUCAAGAAUUCAUUCAAAAGAAUAGUGAAUUCAAAUAACUUUCAAAUGUUAUUCUAAUUUAUGAGUUGCUGCUACAUCGAUCUUCCUACUGAAAACAAAAAUAUCUGUUGCUGACAUCUACCAAAAAGUGAAUUUUUUCCCCAAAUUGAGCUGAGUCCACCUGUUUUGGUAAUGAGUUAGAGAAAUAUAUUCUGUUCUUUUUUAGAAGCUCCAUCAGAGUGGAAGACAUUUAUGAACUAUAUAAAUGUCUCAUUAGACUCCGUCUCAAAAAAAAAAAAGAAAUGUCUCAUUAAUUUUUAGUUAUUGGUUUCUCAUUCUAUGACCCAGAGUCAUGAAAAUUUCAGAAAACCACAGGUUAUUUGUUGAGUGUUCAAAUUGCAUAAUUAAAUAACUGUCAUUGUUGGGAAAGGAGAAUGAUAUGGAAGACAUAGCCCACACUUGGCUCUUGAAAAGUUUACCACUGAACUGAGCUAACAGAUAAAACUUCAUCAAUUUCUUAUCACUGAACCUGAGGGUUACACACAGCUGCACACAUCCUUGCUCUGUAACUCUUUCUGUGAGAGAGGACAUGUGUAACUUCCUAUCUAAGGUCAAUCCCUUUAUCCCUCUUCUGAGAGCUGCAAUGGAGAUCCAGAACACAGUGGAAGAAUAUAUUGAAAUAUGUGUAUCUAAGGUGUUCUAUAAAUUCUCAUUUCAAUGGGCUGUCCCUUAGAUAACCAACACUCAUAUGUUGUUUCAUUUCUCAAUGCAUCUUACUGUGUUCCAUAUUACUUUGAGUCUAAUGGAAUGUACCA